rnacentral:rRNA from 1 species
CCUACGGGUGGCAGCAGUGGGGAAUAUUGCACAAUGGGGGCAACCCUGAUGCAGCAACGCCGCGUGAAGGAAGACGGUUUUCGGAUUGUAAACUUCUGUUCUUAGUGAAGAAUAAUGACGGUAGCUAAGGAGCAAGCCACGGCUAACUACGUGCCAGCAGCCGCGGUAAUACGGAGGUGGCAAGCGUUGUCCGGAAUUACUGGGUGUAAAGGGAGCGGAGGCGGGAAGCCAAGUCAGCUGUGAAAGCUACGGGCUUAACUGGUAGACUGCAGUUGAAACUGGUUUUCGUGAGUGAAGUAGAGGUAGGCGGAGUUCGUGGUGUAGCGGUGAAUGGCUUAGAUAUUACGAGG